rnacentral:rRNA from 1 species
UGCGGAGGAUGCAAGCGUUAUCCGGAAUGAUUGGGCGUAAAGAGUCCGUAGGUGGUUAUUCAAGUCGUUUGUUAAAGAGCGGGGCUUAACCCCGUAGAAGCAGUGGAAACUGAAUAACUAGAGAGAGGUAGGGGUAGAGGGAAUUCCCGGUGUAGCGGUGAAAUGCGUAGAGAUCGGGAAGAACACCAGUGGCGAAAGCGCUCUACUGGGCCUCAUCUGACACUGAGGGACGAAAGCUAGGGGAGCGAAAGGG